CAGCAGCCGCGGGAAUACGAAGGGUGCGAGCGUUAAUCGGAUUUACUGGGCGUAAAGCGUGCGUAGGCGGCUUCUUAAGUCGGAUGUGAAAUCCCUGAGCUUAACUUAGGAAUUGCAUUCGAUACUGGGAAGCUAGAGUAUGGGAGAGGAUGGUAGAAUUCCAGGUGUAGCGGUGAAAUGCGUAGAGAUCUGGAGGAAUACCGAUGGCGAAGGCAGCCAUCUGGCCUAAUACUGACGCUGAGGUACGAAAGCAUGGGGAGCAAACAGGAUUAGAUACCCCAGUAGUCCCUGUCUCUUAUAC
rnacentral:rRNA from 1 species